GCCCUUGUAGCACAAUGGAUAGUGCACCGGACUUCUAAGCCGUGGGAUGGUGGUUCGACUCCACCCGGGGGCACCA
rnacentral:tRNA from 1 species